GUCGCCUCAUUCAUCAAACUCAGUACGUCGUCCCAUUAUCAGGUGUGUUGUCACUUUAAACGGAGAAACUGGGCUUUGACAACUUUCUAACAUGACAAGAGUUUCAACAGAGUGUUGAGCUAACAUUCUGAGACAGUCAGUGACACAUGCAGUGGCAGUGUGGUGGCGGUGGUUGUGGCCCUUCUCCUCUCAGCAGUCUUUGAAGUGCGCCUGAAGAGCUCAACUCUCUGAAAAGGAAAUGAGUCACACAGGCCGGGGACAGCGAGGUGCAAAGCAGUAGCAACAAGGUACAAGUACUCGUCUCUCUGACUGCAGUUCACAGGAACCAGAGGCUUGAAGAGCUGCUGAUGGAAGCUCUUAACCACAGGUGACUUAUUUCAUCCUGAGUACUGAGAACCACGGAGAGUCCUCUGCUUAUAAUGUCACCAAGUCAACCAACCGCCUUCUCCUUCCUGCAGUUUAACCAUUGAUGUGUUGAAAAGAGUGCUCCAUUUACAUUUAGGGAAUCUGUGUAUGUGCUUUCUUGUCCAGAACAAGAUAAGACUUCAUUGUUACUUCUUUAUUUAAGGGAGGGAACAGUGCAAAUUCAUAAAUGCUCAAUAUGAAAGAA